UGAUCUGUGGCUUACUGUGUUAAAGUACCGCUUUAGCGAAUGUGGAGUCGUGGGUUCGAAUCCCACCAGAACGC
rnacentral:tRNA from 1 species